rnacentral:rRNA from 1 species
UACGGGGGGGGCAAGCGUUGUUCGGAAUUACUGGGCGUAAAGGGCUCGUAGGCGGCUAAUUAAGUCAGACGUGAAAUCCCUCGGCUUAACCGGGGAACUGCGUCUGAUACUGGAUGGCUUGAGAUUGGGAGAGGGAUGCGGAAUUCCAGGUGUAGCGGUGAAAUGCGUAGAUAUCUGGAGGAACACCGGUGGCGAAGGCGGCAUCCUGGACCAACACUGACACUGAGGAGCGAAAGCCAGGGGAGCAAACGGG